UUUCCGUAGGUGAACCUGCGGAAGGAUCAUUACAGAGUUCAUGCCCUCACGGGUAGAUCUCCCACCCUUGAAUAUUUAUACCUUAGUUGCUUUGGCAGGCCGUGGAAACACCAUGGGCUCCGGCUUAUGCGUGCCUGCCAGAGGAAACAAACUCUGUUUUUAGUGAUGUCUGAUUACUAUAUAAUAGUUAAACCUUUCAACAACGGAUCUCUUGGUUCUG
rnacentral:misc_RNA from 1 species